GGGUCGUUAGCUCAGUCGGUAGAGCAGUUGACGCUUAAUCAAUGGGGCACAGGUUCGAACCCUGUACCACCCA
rnacentral:tRNA from 1 species